AGAGUUUGAUCCUGGCUCAGAUUGAACGCUGGCGGCAUGCUUUACACAUGCAAGUCGAACGGCAGCACGGGCUUCGGCCUGGUGGCGAGUGGCGAACGGGUGAGUAAUGCGUCGGAACGCGCCGAGUAGUGGGGGAUAACGCAGCGAAAGCUGUGCUAAUACCGCAUACGUACUGAGGUAGAAAGUGGGGGACCUUCGGGCCUCACGCUAUUCGAGCGGCUGACGUCUGAUUAGCUAGUUGGUGGGGUAAAGGCUCACCAAGGCGACGAUCAGCAGCGGGUCUGAGAGGAUGAUCCGCCACACUGGGACUGAGACACGGCCCAGACUCCUACGGGAGGCAGCAGUGGGGAAUUUUGGACAAUGGGCGCAAGCCUGAUCCAGCCAUGCCGCGUGUCUGAAGAAGGCCUUCGGGUUGUAAAGGACUUUUGUCCGGGA
rnacentral:rRNA from 1 species